CAGUCGCCGCGGGAACACAGAGGGUGCAAGCGUUAAUCGGAAUUACUGGGCGUAAAGCGCGCGUAGGUGGUUUGUUAAGUUGGAUGUGAAAGCCCCGGGCUCAACCUGGGAACUGCAUCCAAAACUGGCAAGCUAGAGUACGGUAGAGGGUGGUGGAAUUUCCUGUGUAGCGGUGAAAUGCGUAGAUAUAGGAAGGAACACCAGUGGCGAAGGCGACCACCUGGACUGAUACUGACACUGAGGUGCGAAAGCGUGGGGAGCAAACAGGAUUAGAUACCCGAGUAGUCCCUGUCUCUUAUAA
rnacentral:rRNA from 1 species